rnacentral:lncRNA from 1 species
GUCUGUGCUGUUGUACUGUCCAUGAGGGGCUCUCUCAUAUAGCCAUGCUCGUACCCAUGUUUUUGGGAACGCAGCCCGGCCUUCUGUGAUUGAUCAGAUGAAGAUAAAUUGAUUGAAGAGACAAUUUUACAGUUUCGACUUGAGGGCAUAAAAGAGACAAUGUUACAGUUUCCACUUAAGGGCAUAGAUUAUGUGACACGACAGCGAAUAUAUAAAACGUGGGAUUUUGCUGUUUUUAGAUUAAAAGGAGUUUACAUAUUUAAAGGCGAGACCAUAGAUUACUCGUAAAUCCGUGGCGUCUAUCAUAGAUUUUAAAAAAUGAGCACUAAUAUUGCACGUUGCUGUGUGCCUCAGUCCAAUGAUACAUCUUCAAGGCGGUGUGCAUUUCCUCAGAAUCAAAACUUGAGAAUGGUUUGGAUCAAGCGGACUGGGUGUGACCGUUUACCGAGACAAACGGGAGACUAAUAUUAAAUUGCCUACCACCAAAAGGCCUUCCAGGUUUUCAAGGUGCAGCUUCCAAGGAAAACAGCUUCUUUUGAGAAGGUAUACCAUAUGCUCAAGCAUGUGUGACCCCAGUGAAAGAUCUUCCUCUCGAGUCAGGCACGUCUUUCACCAAGUGGAGUCCGCUAGAUGCUAUUAUGAAGCCAGCAAAAGUCUAUCCUGGCAAAAGACGGUUGGUGCAACCAUCAGCCAACAUAUGUGAUAUUGCUGGAACAACAUAUGACUAUGUUGGCACAUCAAAUAUCGCCACGGUUCCGUGUAAGUAGAUAUACUCAAUAAUAUACAAUAAAUGAGGAAGUCAGAUGUAAAUUUAACUGUAAUAAACUAAAAGACCAAUUUGCAUAUUUUAUCUAUUGUAUAUUGACAUUUUGUAUAAACCUACUUACAGUAGAGGUCGUAGGUAAAAGUAUUUUAUAACUACUUAUUACUGUAGAUUUUAGACUUAUCAAACCGAUCUCAUGGCACCCAAGUAUAUGUCGGUAUAUAUUAUUGUGACAAUCAUCCAACUACCUAAAUAUGUAUCUGCAUUCAUAAUUGCACUGAAUUAAUUAAUUCAUUAGUUGUUACAUUGAAUUAUUUGUUUAUUUAUAAUCACAGGUUUGUGGUUUGUAUAAUACACUUUUCACAAAUUAAUGGUACUUGGCGUUUCGGCGAUUUAUUUACUGCAAUAAAAAAUUGAAAAUGC